GGACACGUGGUAUCCUGUCUGAAUAUGGGGGGACCAUCCUCCAAGGCUAAAUACUCCUGACUGACCGAUAGUGAACCAGUACCGUGAGGGAAAGGCGAAAAGAACCCCGGCGAGGGGAGUGAAAAAGAACCUGAAACCGUGUACGUACAAGCAGUGGGAGCCUCUUUAUGGGGUGACUGCGUACCUUUUGUAUAAUGGGUCAGCGACUUAUAUUCUGUAGCAAGGUUAACCGAAUAGGGGAGCCGAAGGGAAACCGAGUCUUAACUGGGCGUUAAGUUGCAGGGUAUAGACCCGAAACCCGGUGAUCUAGCCAUGGGCAGGUUGAAGGUUGGGUAACACUAACUGGAGGACCGAACCGACUAAUGUUGAAAAAUUAGCGGAUGACUUGUGGCUGGGGGUGAAAGGCCAAUCAAACCGGGAGAUAGCUGGUUCUCCCCGAAAGCUAUUUAGGUAGCGCCUCGUGAAUUCAUCUCCGGGGGUAGAGCACUGUUUCGGCAAGGGGGUCAUCCCGACUUACCAACCCGAUGCAAACUGCGAAUACCGGAGAAUGUUAUCACGGGAGACACACGGCGGGUGCUAACGUCCGUCGUGAAGAGGGAAACAACCCAGACCGCCAGCUAAGGUCCCAAAGUCAUGGUUAAGUGGGAAACGAUGUGGGAAGGCCCAGACAGCCAGGAUGUUGGCUUAGAAGCAGCCAUCAUUUAAAGAAAGCGUAAUAGCUCACUGGUCGAGUCGGCCUGCGCGGAAGAUGUAACGGGGCUAAACCAUGCACCGAAGCUGCGGCAGCGACGCUUAUGCGUUGUUGGGUA
rnacentral:rRNA from 1 species